rnacentral:rRNA from 1 species
ACGUAUGGUGCAAGCGUUAUCCGGAUUUACUGGGUGUAAAGGGAGCGUAGACGGAUAGGCAAGUCUGGAGUGAAAGCCCGGGGCUCAACCCCGGGACUGCUUUGGAAACUGUUUAUCUAGAGUGCUGGAGAGGUAAGUGGAAUUCCUAGUGUAGCGGUGAAAUGCGUAGAUAUUAGGAGGAACACCAGUGGCGAAGGCGGCUUACUGGACAGUAACUGACGUUGAGGCUCGAAAGCGUGGGGAGCAAACAG